rnacentral:lncRNA from 1 species
CUAAAUGACUAGUACUUUUAAAAUACAAAAUUUCAGAAAUAUUGACCGAAGGAAAAGCUAUUGCAUUACAAACAUUGCGCGGUCAAAUGAUUUUUUUUGCCGACGCAAUAAAUUUUCAACUCAACAAGAUCACGUCGUGUCGUUACCAGUCCCAUGCUUAGGCAGCCACCUUGAGCGUAUAUUAAUCAUCACAUCCUCUCACCUUGAGCUGAUAUCCAGAUCUCAUAUUGGCGGUUUCAAACAACAAUCUUGACAAAUCUUUAGCGGACUGAUCAGUGCUGUCUUUCUCAACCAAGUUCAAGAGUUUCUUGAUCAAAGGAUGACGGGGGUUCACUUCCAGUGUCUUCUUUUGAUUAGCAUAGUAGCUGGAAAUAGGAAAUUGAUAAACUUUAACUUUCGAAGCUUAAAGGUGAUCUACAGUCCGUAUGUAAACAAAGCCUUUGUUUACAUUUUUGUGUCCAAAAUAUUGAGCUUUAUUCGACAACUAUUUAUAUUUUCAAGCUUUUAGAGUAAAAUAAAUUAUCAAGAAACAACAAUCAGGCUUUUCAAGAACUCAAAACAUAGUUAAACUGUUUGUAUCAUAAAAAGUGGGCUCAUUUGUGCACAUGCGCAGAUCGGACUGUAGAUCACCUUUAACUUUUGUUUAUAAAGUUUAUAUCGGCUUCUUAUCACGUAUGCGUGACUGGACAGUUGCUGUAGC